rnacentral:rRNA from 1 species
UACGGAGGGAGCUAGCGUUAUUCGGAAUUACUGGGCGUAAAGCGCACGUAGGCGGCUUUGUAAGUAAGAGGUGAAAGCCUGGAGCUCAACUCCAGAACUGCCUUUUAGACUGCAUCGCUUGAAUCCAGGAGAGGUGAGUGGAAUUCCGAGUGUAGAGGUGAAAUUCGUAGAUAUUCGGAAGAACACCAGUGGCGAAGGCGGCUCACUGGACUGGUAUUGACGCUGAGGUGCGAAAGCGUGGGGAGCGAACAGG